AUUGAACGCUGGCGGCAGGCCUAACACAUGCAAGUCGAGCGAGCGGCGGACGGGUGAGUAAUGUCUGGGAAACUGCCUGAUGGAGGGGGAUAACUACUGGAAACGGUAGCUAAUACCGCAUACCAUCAGAUGUGCCCAGAUGGGAUUAGCUAGUAGGUGGGGUAACGGCUCACCUAGGCGACGAUCCCUAGCUGGUCUGAGAGGAUGACCAGCCACACUGAGACUGAGACACGGUCCAGAGUCAUAGGGGAGGCAGCAGUGGGGAAUAUUGCACAAUGGGCGCAAGACUGAUGCAGCCAUGCCGCGUGUGUGAAGAAGGCCUUCGGGUUGUAAAACACUGUCAGCGGGGAGGCGUUACCCGCAGAAGAAGCACCGGCUAACUCCGUGCCAGCCGCCGCGGUAAUUC
rnacentral:rRNA from 1 species